AACGAACGCUGGCGGCAGGCUUAACACAUGCAAGUCGAACGCAUCCUUCGGGGUGAGUGGCAGACGGGUGAGUAACACGUGGGAACGUACCUUUCGGUUCGGGAUAACCCAGGGAAACUUGGGCUAAUACCGGAUACGUCCUUAGGGAGAAAGAUUCAUUGCCGAAAGAUCGGCCCGCGUCUGAUUAGCUAGUUGGUGAGGUAACGGCUCACCAAGGCGACGAUCAGUAGCUGGUCUGAGAGGAUGAUCAGCCACACUGGGACUGAGACACGGCCCAGACUCCUACGGGAGGCAGCAGUGGGGAAGUAUUGGACAAUGGGCGCAAGCCUGAUCCAGCCAUGCCGCGUGAGUGAUGAAGG
rnacentral:rRNA from 1 species